rnacentral:rRNA from 1 species
GACGAACGCUGGCGGCGUGCUUAACACAUGCAAGUCGAACGAUGAAGAAGAGAAACGCGAGCUUCGGUUCAACUUUCACUUCGGAUUAGUGGCAGACGGGUGAGUAACGCGUGAGCAACCUACCUCUUACAAAGGGAUAGCCUCGGGAAACCGUGAUUAAUACCAUAUGACACAUUCAUAAGGCAUCUUAAGAAUGUUAAAGCUACGGCGGUAAGAGAUGGGCUCGCGUCCCAUUAGCUAGUUGGUGAGGUAACGGCCCACCAAGGCGACGAUGGGUAACCGGGCUGAGAGGGUGAACGGUCACACUGGAACUGAGACACGGUCCAAACUCCUACGGGAGGGAGCAGAGGGGAAUAUUGCACAAUGGAGGGAACUCUGAUGCAGCGACGCCGCGUAAGCGAUGAAGGAAUUCGUUUCGUAAAGCUCUGUUCUAUGGGAAGAAAAGGACGGUACCAUAGGAGAAAGCCCCGGCUAAAUACGUG